AAAGGGUUGGAAAAGCUUUCGGAGUCUAUAUUUUAGUGAGUGAAAAAAAGAAAGAAAAGAAAAACUUUAAUUUCUUCUUUAUAGGAACAGUUCUGAGGGAUGUCUCUUAGGGCAGAUGUGAUGCCAAAUUAAAAAAUAUUGAGUGUAAAGAAUUUCUGCAACCUGAGUCUAAACUUACUUUGAGCUCCUCCUACAAAGGAAGGAAACUAAGCUGCAAAAAAUUCCAGGCUGUUGGUUUUAAUCUGGGGUCAGUGUCCUGCUAUGAAUUUCAAAACUGACCCCAUACUGCAAGGGAAGGAAAGGCCAAAGAAAGAGGCAGACCACUCCAGCUUAGUACCUGUCGGGUUUAAUAAGGGAGUUCACGACGAGGCUUGUCUUGGGCCGCUGCAAGGUGAGUAGAUCUCUGCACCUGCCUGCCAGAGUCUUAAGAGUUUAUGUAGAAGCCUUACUGGGUUCAGUCAGUGUAGAGUCCGAAUGGCCUCAGGAACACAUUACUCUCGUAAGGCAGUGUCCUUGCAGGGUCUCCCUGUGGGCAGAAUUUACAUCCAAGGACAGAGCUGGUGGUAAGGAGCCUCUGUUCCCCAGGUCCAGUCCGUAACUCAGCGGGAGGUCAUGUCCUCUCAAUGACCUCCUGCAGCAGGUGCCCACAUAAAAUUCCUUAAUUUUGUGUAACAUUCUAAUAACUUAAAUUUAUCCGUCUUUCUAGAGUCCAGUAGCUAUAGUACCUGUAAAUUUGUGAUUCUACUAGGUUGAAUAGUAUCUAAAAAUUCAUGUCGGGCCAGAACCUCAGAAUAUGACCCUAUUUGGAAAUGUGUCUGUAGAUUUAAUUAAGGGAAGAUGAGGUCCUACCAUAUUAAUCCAAUGACUGGUGUCUUAUAGGAAGAGGGAAAUAUGGACGCACACACGUGGGAAGAACGCCAUCUGAAUACUGAGGCAGAGAUUGGAGUUAUCUUGUCUCAAGCCAAAGAAUGCCAAGAACUGCUGGCCAUCUGCAGAAGCCAGGAGAAAGUGUUUGUAGCCACACUGAUGGAGCUGGAAGGAGCUGGGAGUUUUCUGAAGCAAGUGGCAUCAUCAGAGAGAGAUCACAAGUAGGCAGAGAGGAGGCAGAGAGAGA